UACGUAGGGUGCGAGCGUUAAUCGGAAUUACUGGGCGUAAAGCGUGCGCAGGCGGUUCGUCGUGUCCGAUGUGAAAGCCCCGGGCUCAACCUGGGAAUGGCAUUGGAAACUGGCGGACUCGAGUGUGGCAGAGGGGGUGGAAUUCCGCGUGUAGCAGUGAAAUGCGUAGAGAUGCGGAGGAACACCGAUGGCGAAGGCAGCCCCUGGCUAACACUGACGCUCAGGCACGAAGCGUGGGAGCAAACAGG
rnacentral:rRNA from 1 species